GAGAAGGAGGGUGGAGCGCCGCGGCAGCAUGCGAGACUCCAAGCCUUCCAAGAUGCGUUGCCUGAUUGUUCCUUGGAGGACAUAGGAUACCAUGGCGAUAAAUUCACAUGGUUCCGAGGUGGUAUGAGGGAACGUUUGGAUCGGGCCGUCUGUAAUGCCGAAUGGAUGGAAAUGCACCCCUUGUGUGGACUGUGCAACCUUGAUAUGGGGAAAUCGGAUCAUAGACCGAUAUGUCUGGACACUGACUACUUGGCCGGCGUGGCAGCCCCAAGGAAGUAG
rnacentral:rRNA from 1 species